GCUCCAGUGGCCUGAUUGACAAGGCAUUGGCUUCCUAAGUCAGGGACUGUGGGUUCAAGUCUCAUCUGGGGUG
rnacentral:tRNA from 1 species